rnacentral:tmRNA from 1 species
AAAUUUGUUCCCAUCAGUGAGCGAUAGUGGCUUCUGGACAGGCGGCACCGCCCUGAGAAAUCCUCCAAGCAGACCUCCAUAUCUAUCCAUAGCUAUGACAACUCUAGUAAGUCUUGCCACAGAUCUCAAAUAUGGAAGCACUCUCUUGGGGAGAAUAAAAACAGUUCUAGACGCAAGUGUGGCCCAGUUAACGGUGGCUGAUGUGACUACUGAAGAUAUAGUCAACUUUUUAAAUAGUUUGAAUGGCAUAGAUCAUGAACUAUUUUCCUUCAUUAGAACAUAUCCAGUCUUCUUUGUGCUGCACCUAUGCACCCUGGACAGGACACAAACCUACACUUCAGGACAGGUCAUAAAAACCAUAAAGCAUCUAAUCACCACCUUCCGCGAGGUGCUGUGUGAAGACAUGGGCGCUGACAACGACUCUAUUAUAUCAAAUUCUAACAUCCUAAAGGAUUGCUCUUGGUACCUCACAAAAUUAGAAACUGAACAGAUGUCAACUUCUAUACCCCACCUGCCCAAAUCUUGUAUAACUUUCCCUUGCAUGGAACAGGUUCAUCAUCUGGUCCAUAAUGCUACCCUCGCCACACUACCCAAUAGCUGGACAUCUCCCCUCCCAUCUCUAAACAGUGUGUAUGUCCAAUGGUUUGUAUUGUCCUAUAAACACAAGGUUUUUCCAGAUGAGGUCCCUAGCUCUAACAUCCAAGACCUGGCAGACAAAAUGACCAACAUUUACAAGCACCUAUUUGUUCCCCACACCUCACAGCUAACAGGUGCCAGUAUUAUUCUCGCAAGAUCCCUGGACAUUCUUUCACAGUUUACACCUUUGGAAAAGAUUCCAUCCAACAGUCCAGCGGUGGCCUUUGGCGAUGAUGAGCUAAGCAACAUCCCAUCUAAUUGUCACCUGAUGUUUGGACACCUAAUAGAAAGUAUCUAUAUGGGAAUGACUUACGCCUGUACCCUGGGGGCGGUUGAACAGUUCAUCAGAGAGGCCUUUGAUGUUGUACUAGGCGUGGCGUCAGAGAUCAAGCGAACAGCGAGCUUGUCCGACCUCCCAACUGUCACCAAAUUAGUGAACAUCAAAAGGAUACUGAUAGAACAUGGCUUAUCUGAAACCAGGUGUGAGGAGUAUGCCCAGGCUUUACCCAAGUGGCAGCAUCGGGAGGGAAUAUAUCCCUUUGAAGAGACUCUUGACCAUUUCCACCAAAAGCUUUCCACCUUGAUAAAAUUCUGUCUAGAAUUCUACAACACACUGAUGCUCGUCAGCCCCACAAGUAUCUCCCACUCAUAUCUAAAAGAAAAUAAUUAUCUUCUACAGUUGGAUAGAAAGUCUGCUGCCAGCCAAGGACAGGGCCCGGAUGACAUCAACCUAUUGGAAAAGGUGUUCACAUUCGUUUACCCUCAAGUACCAGGACAGGACUUACAAAGAAUACACGAUGCCAUAGACUCAGAUAUCAUGAGAACUUUAUUUUUUUCAUGGGUAAACAGGAAUUGGGGCAUUGUCCUCAUCACCCAGAAUCCACUGAUGGAACCCUCUUGCGAGCACCAGGUUUCCGAAGAGAGGGUCGCGGCCUACUGUAAAAGAAUGCCUGUCGGGGACUUAUCCUACGAGCCUGCCAUGGUCUCCCAUAAAAUGUUUUACAAGUACUUCAUCAGACACAUCGUUGGUCCCACCAUACAGGGGAUAUUUUCCAGAAAGACGUCAAGAAACCGGGCCCUCUUCCAAAUAAGAUGGCUGCUGAGCUUCGCUAUCACCGACACGCCCCAGCUGCAGGAGAUCCGCAGACCGCUGGGCAUGUUCUACUUUGAGCUGCUCGACAUCAUCAACGGGACCAAUAAACCUUCUGCCAUGAAGAAUCUCUUGGACCAUGCCCUGGAUCUAAAGAAAAAGAUCAACAAAAUUAACCAGACAUUUUCUAUACCCCAGGAUCUAAUCCUCUACUUAUUUGUACUAGACACUGGCGCAUCCUAUAUCAAUUCUGUAGAUUAUAUCACGGCCAUCAUCCCCAAGGUCGAACACCUUUUGUUGAGGGGCAGAAACAUCUUACGUCUGGGCUCAAUUUUAUGUCACACCAAAUAUAACUAUCACCCCCUAACCCAUCAAUUCACCAUACUGUCCUCCAGUGGACAGAUUCUGGAAGUUCACUUGGAGACCCUCAAGAGUCUGAUUAGCCAGGUGGAAAAGGAUCACAGUCAGCUCCUGAUGGAGAUAACAGAUCUGGAGGGUGAACUCAGGGGGGAAUACAGCACGGUGCUCUCACUUCUUCAAGACCUAGAGGCAUAUAAACAGCAUGAGUUGGGGAUAGAAUUUGACACCGAACCUUGGAACCAACUCAAACAGUCCUUCAGUGGCAUACUCUCCAGAAUUAGCUCUGGACUAUCCCUUCUCUCGAAAGGAUGUUCAAGUUGCUUAAGAAAAAGGUUUCAUGACCUGUUUUCCCAGGAAAUCAUUACCCCCACAAUCUUAAAGGCGGCAUCGGCUGGAAAUGUGGAAAUUAUCAAAAAUCUUAAAGAAAUUCCAGUAAAUCUGAUGGCUCCACCCACAGACACGUCAAUGACCCAGGCUGGGGGAAACCCCACAGAUGAAGACCUAACCAUGCUAUAUUCUACCUACCCCCAGAUUUUUAGCCAAAACGCUGCCCGUGGUGAGAAACAUCCACCCCAACUGAAAAAAUAUUCCAGCACUUAUGACAGAAUACCCCUGGAUGUUAACUGGCAAAUAUUUACACAACAAACCUACACCGCCGAGCACGCAGAGUGCCCCUACACUAUUGUAAAAAUUCAUGACAUAAUAAAACUGCUAUCAUAA